rnacentral:rRNA from 1 species
GUGGGGAAUAUUGGACAAUAGGGGCAACCCUGAUCCAGCCAUGCCGCGUGAAUGAUGAAGGCCUUCGGGUUGUAAAGUUCUUUUGGAGGGGACGAUGAUGACGGUACCCUCAGAAUAAGCUCCGGCUAACUUCGUGCCAGCAGCCGCGGUAAUACGAAGGGAGCUAGCGUUGUUCGGAAUUACUGGGCGUAAAGGGCGCGUAGGCGGUUUGGUUAGUCAGAUGUGAAAGCCCAGGGCUUAACCCUGGAACUGCGUUUGAUACUGCCAAGCUUGAAUUCGGGAGAGGUGAGUGGAAUUCCCAGUGUAGAGGUGAAAUUCGUAGAUAUUGGGAAGAACACCGGUGGCGAAGGCGGCUCACUGGACCGACAUUGACGCUGAGGCGCGAAAGCGUGGGGAGCAAACAGGAUUAGAAACCCUGGUAGUCC